GUCGUGGUGCCCUUUCUAAAGCACUGCCCUUGUAAAUCAUGUAAUGGAAUGUGACACUGAGCCAGCUGGUUAGUUGUGUGUGGUUUCUGUGGGGACCUGCAUCCACUUUCCAUGCAUGGCUGGCCUAGUCUAGACAGUGGGUGAAACCUCUGGCCGGGAUAAGGUGAGAGGGUAUAGAGGAAGAACAGCUUUCGUGAGACACCUGAACUCCACUCAUGGCUGUCUGUGACUAUAGUGUCAGUUUAAUCAGGUAUCUCCAGGGGUGUUUUUAGAGGUGUUAAUUAUAUAAGAUUGAAUGUAGAGAGUAAUUAUCUGGAUAAUUAAAGUUGAAUAAAACCUAUUUUACCGCAAAUUUUAGGUCAUUGGGAAAAAGUCUGAAUUGUAUUUAUAUACCACUUAGAAAAGUAUUCUUUUUUACGUUAUAACAACAACAACAACAAAAAAAACCUAUUUGGAAGGAGGGAUUCCCAAAUGUGGAAACAUUUAAAUUUAAAGGUUCAUUAAAUUUUUAUGUGAUUUAAAAUUUUUAGUGUCUGUGUCUUUGCUUUAACUAUUUUUUCCUUCCCUUGUCUUUCCUUGAAGGCCAGUUUGGGACCUCUUCUGCCUAGGAAAUAGAGUACUGCCUGCUCUGAUGACACUUUGGGGUACAAAUAAGAGAUUUCAUCUCCAGCGUUGAAGAAAAUGAAAGCAUUAGUAGAAAGAAGGAGGAGUGUUCCAUCUCUUCUCCCAGAUAAAGCCCUGCAGGAACAGCCUGGUACCAGCAUCUAUGUCUUCUGAUUAUACUCAAGACCAUUUGCCAGAGCAUGGCAUAAAAUCUUCAAUUCAGAAAGUGAUACUGAGAAGAUAUAUAAGCUGUGCCUUUCAGAAUUUAAACUUAAGGAAAGACUGGGAAAAUGUGGAGUUUCUGUGAAAGCAUCUAGCAGUUUUUGCUACAUCAAAUCUAUGAAAGUUUCUUCUGAAUUUGGUGGGCAUCAUUGAUAUACUCUUCCAAGGAAAAUUAAGGACACUGAAAUGUUAGAUGCCUGACAAACUCUAAAUGGAGAGGCUCUUUGUGAUUGACUAGUGAUGUAUGAGAUAGAAUAUUUUCCUGCAUUACAGUAAGAGAGAAAGAUUUUGAAUUUUAGAAUUAAAUUGUUUUACCAAGUGCAUAUGAAGGUAAUAAAAUACAAUAGAUUUUGUAAUGCGUCUUUUUAGUCUAUGUAUGAACUUAAUUUGUUUUGAUGAAAAAAGUUAAUGUGUUGACUGUUAAGCAUUGAAUGAAGUGUUAACCUUCCACUUUCAUUAAACUAGCCCACCUUUUUCUUUAUUUUUUUUUUUUAAGUAGACAUUAUUUUCUUAGGUUCAUGGCAAAAUUGGUCAGAAGAUACAGAGAUUUCCCACAUACCCCCUGCCUCCCACUUGCAUAGCCUCCCCCAUUAUUAACACCCCUCACCAGAGUGGUACAUUUGUUAUAAUGAGCCUGCACUGAUUCGUCAUUAUCUCCCAAAGUCCACAGUUUACACUAGGGCUCACUCUUAGUGUUGCACAUGCUAUGGGUUGGACGUGUGUAAUGAUAUUCCCCCACCAUACGGCAUUGGACAGAGUGGUUUAGUGCCCUGAAAGUCCUCUGUGCUCUAGUAGCCCAUCCCCCCUCCCCUCUAACUACAGAUCUUUUUUACUGUCUCCAUAAUUUUGCCUUUUACAGAAGGUCAUAUGAUUGCAAUCAAACAGUAUGUAGCCUUCUUAGACUGACUUCUUUCACUUAGCAAUAUGCACUUGGCUCACCUUUUUCAAGGUUGUAGGUAACUCAUAGUAACAAUAUACUAUUGAGUAACAUAGUAGAAUAACAUUUUUAACAAUCUUUAUUCCAAUAGGCUUUAAACUUCAAAUACUUUAAAGAAUAUUUUUUCAUAGGUCAUAUUUUUAUUCUUUAUGUAACUAAAGGAUUACACAGCCAUUAUGAUGGUUAUAAUGGAUGUUAUACAGGAGUAUAAUAAAAAUCCAUCCAUGUCUAUAUCCUAAAUGACUAUUUACAAAAUUUUAUCCUACAUUUUUUUUUUAUUUCAGCAUAU